GUGCUUUUCGCAUUCAUAUACACAAACCAGCAAGCAAAAUAUAGCAUGCACACAGUAUUUGUCACAAUUCUGGAUGGUUGGGAUUCAGUUUUAAGGCAAAGGUAGAAAAUUACAAACAACAAUCUUCCUCUUUUCCUCUUUUUUGGGACAAGUUUGAUUUAAGCAACAAAAUCUUCAUCUGAUUCAGCUUCCUCCUCACCCCAUGCAUAAUACUCACCUUGCACAUUUCCCCGAAGCAUAUUUACAAUCUGUCGCAAUUCGAUUACACGCCUCCCCAAGUACGUGGGUAGGAUCGUGCGUGGCUCAUUCUCAAGCAUGCUUAAUUGGUUGGAAGUCUUUGCUUGAUGGUUACAUUUUAAAAUAAACUCCCAUGAGGGUUCAAGGAUUUUGAUAUCAAAUGAAGGCGAUAAUGCCCGCCCGAUAACUUGAACAUGAGAAACGCAUAUGUAGAACAAAGCAUCUGUUUCUUGUCUUUGUACCCUGCCAAGCAGCUCAAUUUGCAAAAUACCUCCUAUGCAAAGAACAGGUUCAGGAAGUUUGAACUUCUGCAAGUAAUUCUCCUGAGCCAUUGAAAAUUCUGGAGAAGUAUACGUCCAUAUAAAUGUUUCUUUAGCAGAUCCAUAGUGUGACUCCCCAUCCAGAC
rnacentral:misc_RNA from 1 species